UUCAGUUUUCAAGAAUAAUUUAAUUUGUGUUUGUUCCUCUUACAUCAUGGCACCAAUUAAACGGCCAAAGCGUUACGGAAGAUACGGUGCAGAGCCAGGGGGCGAAGCCUGCAACAUCCCUCGAAGCACAUUUAAUGGGUGGCUGAGGACAACUGGAGAACCGUCACAAAUCGUCGAAACGCCCUCUUUAGCACGAGCAGCAGAAAUAGAAGCAGACAACAACAGAAAUAUAGAUGAAGACAACCGUGAUCAUCUACCACUACAUCAUCCAUACAUCAUGAAUUCAGAUAACGAGUUGGAUACAACAAGACAGUGUGUGGUGGUUGCAGGUGACGAAAAAGCGCACAGCCCUCAGCAAUCGACGCCUUCUCCAACAGUAACUGACGAUGAACCUAUCCACCCUUCACUUGUUUUGGGUAAAGGAGAAUUACUAUCUCUCAUUCUAGCUUUCUACAUCCGCUUUAAGUUGUCAAAGUCUUGCCUUGAUAGCUUGUUGCACAAACCGACGCAAGAGCAGCACAGAGGCACAGCAGCAAAGUCGAAGACCACAAAGGACGAGACAGCGGAUUCGCAGAUCGGAGCCAACUAGAACGUACGUGGGAGUCACCACAGACAUCCACCAGACAACCAACACCGAGAAGGCCCGCAGACGAAGAAGGAGACCGCUCAAGCCAAGGAUCCCGACUAUCGUUGACGUAAGACACCUCGGACCUCACAGGACACCCGCAAGAAGAAACCCUGCCCCAUAGCCCAACAGUAUCUCGAGAAAACGAAGUAUUCGCAGAUCAAAACCUUUUUUCCCCAGUACAGAACGCGGAGUUUCAACCGGAAGACGAAAGAGACGAAGACGAGCUAUAUACACCACGAAGACUCUGGAACGAAAGGAGGGCCGAAUACCAACCAGCGGCAGGCGACACCGAACUAACCUACAGACAGCUUUCGUCAGAGUCCGACGAGGAAUCAGACGGCGCCGAGGGUACAGUUCGCCUACUCACAAGCUUCAACUAUACAACACCAACCACCAGAACAGCAACAGGAAACCGAACUCUGACACCAACGCAGCCGGAAAAUAACCCGACACUAGCGAACACACCAACAACAGGAAGACCGUCACCCCAACACCCCACUCAACACACACGAUACCCGACCCUACCAACAGUUCGGAACUCCCGACGACAAACAUGGCCACCGGACUUCUCAAGUUCAAGGCUCCCCCUGUCUUCUCGGGCAAAGGAGGAGAAGACGCCGCCGACUGGAUGGAUCGAUACGAGGUGCUAGCAGACUACAACCGGUGGACCGACGCAGACAAACGAGCAAACUUCGGCAUUUACCUCGAAGGACCAGCAAGACAGUGGUUCCAACGCCUGACACCACCCAACGGGUGGGGAGACACUGCGGCAGUAACAGCCACCCAACAACAGACCAGGACACCGGCGUUCCAUCUUCAUAAAAGAAUUCCUACAAGAUAGCUAUGCCGGAUAGGAAGAAAGGAAACUUUGGAACCGCAAACAAGGCAUAAACGAACCCGCCGCAAAAUACUACUACGAGAUAAUAAACUUAUGCCGAUUGAUGGACCCUAACAUGUCCGAAGAAGCAAAACUACACCACCUCUACGAAGGACUAAAACCUACAUUGGUGGAGAAAAUCUGGGUCCCCCAACCCAAAACUUGCAUCGACUUCCUAGCAGCGGUAAGGAGACACACCGACGCCGUCGCCGUCGCCGACGCCGUCCACAUGCUAGAAGAAGAAAGGGAGAGAAAAGAGGAAACAAGAGUUGCAGCAGCAACCAGCAGGGAUAACGAGAAACCCUCACUGAAGCAACUUCUAGAAGUCGUGCAACAACUACAAGGAGAAAUAGUCGCUAUGAAGAAACGCGGGGGAAGGAGGGAGAGGAGCCGAGCAGACAACGGGACAACACAAAGCCAGAAUGAAGCAACACCCCCACAAAGUACAGCAGAUGGACGGCAGAUCUGUUUCUACUGCAAAGCCAAGGGGCACAUUAAGAGAUACUGCCCGGAAAAGAAAGAAGACGAUGACAGACGUAACAACACGACCGUAGCUAUGAUCAGCACAUCGGACGAAGAAGAUGACAAGGAGAUACCCCUGCUACAAAUCGACGCGGGACAACUGCUGACAGAAGAAGUUAUAAUUGGAACAAACGACACGAAAAAAAAGACCGAAGUGGCAAUCGAUACAGGAGCAGCGGUAUCGAUCAUAUCCCCCAAACUAACAGAAGACAUGGCCAUAGAACUCAAGACCUGGGGCGGGCCACAAAUCGUAAUAGUAAACGGACAGCGGACACCCCCCUUAGGAAGAGUGGAGCUGACAAUAACCAUUGGUACGACAACAGUCCAAGCGAAGGUGCUAGUACUGGAGAUGCGAGGGAUCAACCUACUCUUAGGCAAUGACGUGCUGAGACGUUUUAAAAAACUGGAGAUCGAAUACGGCAAGGGGAAACCAAAGAUGCGAUUCGGCAAUCUACCAGUACGGAUGGAAAUCGAAGACCAAACACCAACACCGUCCGCAAAGAUAGUAGCAAAAAGCGGGGCAAGAAUCCCAGCAAGAUCCAUGGUGGCCGUGGAGAUAGAACAAACUGAAGCGACAAAACCAACAUUGGACGGCCGCCCCUGGAUGAUAGAACCAGCAACCAACCACACACCAGGACCGACACCAGGAAGAGCCCUCAUGCCUGGCGACCGAACAACGGUAUGGGUCAUGAUGACAAACCUGGAAAACAGAUCAGUUUAAAUCCACAAGAAAAUGGUACUAGGACACAGAACCGAAGUGGCGGGAAUAGGCACAGAAAUAGAUGCCACAGGCAGAGCCAACGGACCCAGAACAUUAAACACGGAGCUGGAAAAAGGCACCACAAAUAUCCUUGACUUCACACCCAGCAUAAACCAGGAGCUUCCGGCAGAGGAGAGGAAGGAGUUCAAGGAAACAGUACGAGACAACACCGACUGUUUCGCGAGGGAAGGCGAGCGACUAGGACGUUGCAACGUCGCAGAGCACGAAAUCCAGCUAACACCCAACGCCAGACCCAUCUACCAGACCCAACGCCCGGCGUCGUGGAAGGAACAAGCCAUCCACAGAGAACUGAAACUGGACAUGCUGAAGAAAGGCGUGAUUGAAGAAGCCACCGGGCCAUGGAGCGCGAGGACACUAUUGAUUCAAAAAAGGAUGGAAGCUGGAGAUUUUGCCUUGACUUCCGCCCAUUGAACAAUGUUACAAUAUUUAGCGUAUACCCCAUGCCCAGCAUAGACGGAGCGUUGACCAGGCUACAUGGAGCCAAAAUAUUCUCAGUAAUGGACUUAGAAAGCGGGUACUGGCAAAUACCCAUGAAGAAAGAGGAAAAAGAAAAGACAGCCUUCACCACCGCAGAUGGAUCCUGCCGUUUCCUCGUCAUGCCGUUCGAUCUCUGCACAGCCCAAAGCAUAUUCCAGCGGACCAUGAACACGGUACUAGGAGGGCUGCGAUGGACCUCGUGCCUCGUAUACCUUGACGACAUCAUCGUAUACGCAGGAGACACAAAAGAACACAUUCGACGACUCCGACUAGUCCUUGCCGCACUACGCAAAGCAAAUCUGAAACUCAAACUCGUGAAAUGUCGUUUCGGGGAAUCAGCAAUCAUAGCACUGGGUCACAAGAUUAAUGCCGACGGAAUCAGCCCUGACCCCGGGAAAGUGAGAGCCGUGCAAAACUUUCCCACACCACCAACCAUAGCAAGCCGAGCGGAAAAAGUCAAGUUCAUCAAAAGCUUUCUCUGGCUAUGUUCAUACUACAGAAGACACAUACCAGGAUUCGCCGAGGCAGCGAAACCCCUGUUUGACUUAACCAGAGAAAAGUCGCUGUUCAUCUGGACGCCAACACACCAGGAACUUUCAACAAGCUGAAACAGAUGCUAGCAGACUCAGCCACACUAGUAUACCCGGAUCCGACGGCCGAAUUCGAAAUACACCCAGACGCCUGCGGCUACGGUGUCGGAGCAGUUCUACUACAAAAACAGGAUAGUGCGGAGAGACCCCUGGCAUUCGCAAGCCGUUUGAUGUAACGCAGUGAGCAGAACUACUCCAUAACAGAAAAAGAAUGCCUGGCUCUCAUUUGUGUUAUCAAGCGAUCCCCAACACCUGCAACACAGGCAGG
rnacentral:sRNA from 1 species